UCCAGACUCCUACGGGAGGCAGCAGUGGGGGAUAUUGCACAAUGGGGGGAACCCUGAUGCAGCGACGCCGCGUGGGUGAAGGAGCGUUUCGGCGCGUAAAGCCCUCUCGGCAGGGAAGAAGGAGGACGGUACCUGACUAAGAAGCCCCGGCUAACUACGUGCCAGCAGCCGCGGUAAUACGUAGGGGGCAAGCGUUAUCCGGAUUUACUGGGUGUAAAGGGGGCGCAGACGGCAGCGCAAGCCAGGAGUGAAAGCCCGGGGCCCAACCCCGGGACUGCUCUUGGAACUGCGCGGCUGGAGUGCAGGAGGGGCAGGCGGAAUUCCUGGUGUAGCGGUGAAAUGCGUAGAUAUCAGGAGGAACACCGGCGGCGAAGGCGGCCUGCUGGACCGUGACUGACGUUGAGGCUCGAGAGCGUGGGGAGCAAACAGGAUUAGAUACCCGAGUAA
rnacentral:rRNA from 1 species